CAUGCAAGUCGAACGCAGUAGCAAUACUGAGUGGCAAACGGGUGAGUAUAAUGUGGGAAUCUGCCUUUUGGUACGGAAUAGCCUCGGGAAACUGGGAGUAAUACCGUAUGUGCCCUUCGGGGGAAAGAUUUAUCGCCAAAAGAUGAGCCCGCACUUGAUUAGCUAGUUGGUAAGGUAAAAGCUUACCAAGGCGACAAUCAAUAGCUGAUUUGAGAGGAUGAUCAGCCACACUGGGACUGAGAUACGGCCCAGACUCC
rnacentral:rRNA from 1 species